rnacentral:rRNA from 1 species
ACUCCUGCGGGAGGCAGCAGUGGGGAAUAUUGCACAAUGGGCGCAAGCCUGAUGCAGCCAUGCCGCGUGUAUGAAGAAGGCCUUCGGGUUGUAAAGUACUUUCAGCGGGGAGGAAGGCGAUAAGGUUAAUAACCUUGUUGAUUGACGUUACCCGCAGAAGAAGCACCGGCUAACUCCGUGCCAGCAGCCGCGGUAAUACGGAGGGUGCAAGCGUUAAUCGGAAUUACUGGGCGUAAAGCGCACGCAGGCGGUCUGUCAAGUCGGAUGUGAAAUCCCCGGGCUCAACCUGGGAACUGCAUUCGAAACUGGCAGGCUAGAGUCUUGUAGAGGGGGGUAGAAUUCCAGGUGUAGCGGUGAAAUGCGUAGAGAUCUGGAGGAAUACCGGUGGCGAAGGCGGCCCCCUGGACAAAGACUGACGCUCAGGUGCGAAAGCGUGGGGAGCAAACAGGAUUAGAUACCCGUGUAGUCCCAUG